rnacentral:lncRNA from 1 species
AGUUUUUUGAGGAACCAUUUUACUGUUUUCCAUAAUGGCUGAACUAAUUGACGUUCCCACCAACAGUGUAAGAGUUCCCCUUUCUCCUCAUCCUGCUAGCAUUUAUUAUUUUUUGUCCUUUUGAUAAUAACCAUUCUAACUGGGUGAGAUUACACCUCAUUGUGAUUUUAUCUUUUUCUAUUAAAAAAAGGCUAGAUACUAAAUAUUUUAGGCUUUGUGAGCCAUAUGGUCUCUUUCACAACUACUCAUCUCUACCGCUGAAGUGUGAAAGCAGCAAGACAAUAUGUAAACAAAUGAGCGUGGCUAUGUUCCAAUAUAGCUUUGUUUACAAAAAUGCAGGAUUUGCCUUGUGGGCCAUAGUUUGCUCAAUGCUGGGCUAGAAUAGUUUGCAACCUUGCCGCAAAUUGGAAUCACCUGAGGAUGUUUAAAAACUAUUAUUGCCUGGCUCCUACCCCAGGCUGCAGGAGUUUUAAAGCUUCCCAGCCUGUAAUCCCAGAACUUUGGGAGGCUGAGGCAGGCAGAUCACCUGAGGUCAGGAGUUUAAGACUAGCCUGGCCAACAUGGUGAAACCCCGUCUCUACUAAAAAUACAAAAAUUAGCCGGGCGUGGUGGCGCGUGCCUGUAAUCCCAGCUACUCGGGAGACUGAGGCAGAAGAAUCCCUUGAACUAGGAGGCAGAGGUUGCAGUGAGCUGAGAUCACGCCACUGCACUCCAGCCUGGGUGACAGAAAAAAAGGCUCAAAAAAAAAAAAAAAAAAAGCUUCCCAGGUGAUUCUAAUGUGCAGCAAAAUCUGGGAACCACUAGUCUGGAACCUUGUUAUUCAAACUACCAUCCUCAGGAAAGAAGCAUCCAUAUCGACUAGGAGCUUUAUCUUGUUUUGGUUUUUGUUUUUUAAUGGAUUUUGUAUUCUUUCUACUGUUUGUGGUUUUUCAAUUUAUUAGACCCAGGAGAUCCUCGUAAAAACUACUAGAAUGGAUGGAAUUUGUUAAAUGGCUGCAUAUACAAAAAUAAAAGGUCAGGCUGGAAAAUACUUUACAUUUUAAUGAGAGGUAUACAAACCUAGAUUUUUAAAACUAUAAACUUCUAUUGAAGUAUAUAAACAAAAUAUGAAUAUGCAAUGACAGCAUGUUCUUGGAUGGGAAGAUCUAAUCUCAAAAUAUCACUUCCCCAAAAUUAAUGUAUAAAUUUUGUGCAAUCCUGAUUUUAUUCCAGAAAAGAGAUAUUUUUAUUUGAUUUUUUAAAUUGAAUGAAAUGGUCUGAUAGUUUUUAUGGAAAAAAUAAUGUCUGAAAUAAGUAAUAAAAUUAUGGGAAAAUAA